UACGUAGGGUGCAAGCGUUGUCCGGAAUUAUUGGGCGUAAAGAGCUCGUAGGCGGUCUGUCGCGUCGGCUGUGAAAACCCGGGGCUCAACCCCGGGCCUGCAGUCGAUACGGGCAGACUAGAGUGUGGUAGGGGAGACUGGAAUUCCUGGUGUAGCGGUGAAAUGCGCAGAUAUCAGGAGGAACACCGGUGGCGAAGGCGGCAUCCUGGACCGGCAUUGACGCUGAUGAGCGAAAGCCAGGGGAGCAAACGGG
rnacentral:rRNA from 1 species